rnacentral:rRNA from 1 species
UACGAAGGGGGCUAGCGUUGUUCGGAAUCACUGGGCGUAAAGCGCACGUAGGCGGAUCUUUAAGUCAGAGGUGAAAUCCCAAGGCUCAACCUUGGAACUGCCUUUGAUACUGGGGAUCUUGAGUCCGGGAGAGGUGAGUGGAACUGCGAGUGUAAGAGGUGAAAUUCGUAGAUAUUCGCAAGAACACCGGUGGCGAAGGCGGCGACCUGGUCCGAUACUGACGCUGAGGCGCGAAAGCGUGGGGAGCAAACAGG